rnacentral:rRNA from 1 species
CAAUCAACGCUGGCGGCGUGCCUAACACAUGCAAGUCGAGCGAGAAAGGGUAGCAAUACCUGAGUAAAGCGGCGCACGGGUGAGUAACACGUGGGUAAUCUGCCUUGGAGUGGGGAAUAACACCGGGAAACCGGUGCUAAUACCGCAUACGAUCACUGGGUUUGCGGAUCUGGUGAUGAAAGGAGCAAUUCGCUCUAAGAGGAGCCCGCGGCUGAUUAGCUAGUUGGGAGGUAAUGGCUCACCAAGGCUACGAUCAGUAGCCGGUCUGAGAGGACGGUCGGCCACACUGGAACUGAGACACGGUCCAGACUCCGUACGGGAGGCAGCAGGUGGGGAAUCUUGCGCAAUGGGCGAAAGCCUGACGCAGCGACGCCGCGUGAGGGA